rnacentral:misc_RNA from 1 species
CGCACAUUGCGCCCUCUGGUAUUCCGGGGGGCAUGCCUGUUCGAGCGUCAUUACAACCCUCAAGCCCCGCUUGGUGUUGGGCGUCACCGCGUGCGGUGCGCCUCAAACGUAGUGGCGGCGCCGUCCGGCUCCUAGCGCAGUAACAACUCUCGCUAUGGGGACCGGGCGCGUGCCCGCCAGCAACCCACACUUUUCAAAGGUUGACCUCGGAUCAGGUAGGGAUACCCGCUGAACUUAA